GACGAACGCUGGCGGCGUGCUUAACACAUGCAAGUCGAACGGAAAGGCCCUGCUUUUGUGGGGUGCUCGAGUGGCGAACGGGUGAGUAACACGUGAGUAACCUGCCCUUGACUUUGGGAUAACUUCAGGAAACUGGGGCUAAUACCGGAUAGGAGAUCCUGCUGCAUGGUGGGGGUUGGAAAGUUUCGGCGGUUGGGGAUGGACUCGCGGCUUAUCAGCUUGUUGGUGGGGUAGUGGCUUACCAAGGGUUUGACGGGUAGCCGGCCUGGGAGGGUGACCGGCCACAAUGGGACUGAGAUACGGCCCAGACUCCUACGGGAGGCAGCAGGGGGGAAUAUUGCACAAUGGGGGGAAGCCUGAUGCAGCAACGCCGCGUGCGGGAUGACGUCCUUCGGGUUGUAAACCGCUUUCUCCUGUGACGAAGCGUGAGUGACGGUAAUGGGUAAAGAAGCACCGGCUAACUACGUG
rnacentral:rRNA from 1 species